AAGGAGCCCUAGAGGCAGCCAAAUAGUGAUGUGUAAUAUAAUAUCAUGCCUACUGGCUAUAAGGGGGGGGGGACCUCUGCAAUAUAUUAGUGAUUGUUAUCAUUAGCAGGUGUGUAAUUUAAUAUCUUACUUCUGGUGUUUUUCCAAUUUCUUUAGGGAUGGCAGCAUAAGCUAGAUCCAGAAUACAAUGUGAUGCAAACAUUACAAACACUGCUUCUUCAAGCUGACUGGGCUAAGUCUCUUUCGUAUACAAUUGAUGGGUUGAUGGCCCCAUAAGCAGGAUACGAGUGAACGUGUGACUAGUGAUAGAUGAAAUUCGGAUUUAUUGAGAUGCCCCCCAACAGUAGCAGAUGAAGAUUCACUAGUAGUUUCACUUUGAGCAGCUUUAAUGUUCUUAAAUACUGCAAUGCAAUCUGGAUUGUUUUAAAAGGUUCGCCGGAGUUUCAAGAUGCCCCAAUGUACCCCCGUGGUCUGUGUCUGCAGGGACCAUUAACUUCCCUGUAUGGAGGAAAGUUUAAUAUAUAGGUGAUGGCUUUCCUAUUUAGGUAUGGUAGUGUCUUUAAAGGAGGAAGAAAAAUCUAGGACACGGAGGACGUGUUAUUAAUUUAAUAAAAAGAAUAUAAGAAAAGUCAAUGCUCAACUGAAAAAAAAAAAAUUAAUCGUGAAAAUAUAAA